AGCGAACGCUGGCGGCAGGCUUAACACAUGCAAGUCGAGCGGGCACUUUCGGGUGUCAGCGGCGGACGGGUGAGUAACGCGUGGGAACGUGCCCUCUGGUUCGGAAUAACGCAGGGAAACUUGAGCUAAUACCGGAUACGCCCUUUUGGGGAAAGGCUUGCUGCCGGAGGAUCGGCCCGCGUCUGAUUAGCUAGUUGGUGAGGUAACGGCUCACCAAGGCGACGAUCAGUAGCUGGUCUGAGAGGAUGAUCAGCCACACUGGGACUGAGACACGGCCCAGACUCCUACGGGAGGCAGCAGUGGGGAAUAUUGGACAAUGGGCGCAAGCCUGAUCCAGCCAUGCCGCGUGAGUGAUGAAGGCCUUAGGGUUGUAAAGCUCUUUUAUCCGGGACGAUAAUGACGGUACCGGAGGAAUAAGCCCCGGCUAACUUCGU
rnacentral:rRNA from 1 species